rnacentral:tRNA from 1 species
GGGGUUGUGGCUCAGUGGUAGAGAGCUUGUCUAGCAUGCAGGAGGCACUGGUUCAAUCCUCAGCACCA